rnacentral:lncRNA from 1 species
AAGGACAGAGCCAGCAUAUGAAGCAUGAUUUUCUGAUAGCAAGUCCAGUAUGUUUUCCAACCUCUUAACAUACAAUAGGUGAUGAAUUCCUGAAGAGUCUUGAGUGGAGGAGCAGCAUGAUUAGAAUUACGUUUUAAGCAUUUUACUUUAUUGGGGAGUGUUCUGAAGAAAGGAUUGUAGGAAAGAGAAGUUGGAAGAGGGAGAUUUAUGAAGACUAUAAUAAUAAUUCAAGAAGAGAUGAGAAGGCUUGUAACCAAUCUACAGUAGAUGUUGACAGAAUGAAAUAAGUGAGAGAAAAUAGAAAUAAUUAGAGUUGGUAGUUAAUUCAUUAUAGAGAAUGGGGGGGGGGGGGAAUGAUAAAUGAGAUCCCUAAGAAGGCUAGAAAGAAUGAGUGGGCUUCAGAGAUAAUACAAGGAAAAGAGUAUCUUGGUUCUGCUAGUUGGGCAAAUCAUUUAUCCUCCCUAAACUUCAGUUGUUCUAUGGCAAUAAUAGUACUUUCACUACAACAUUUAAUAAUCAGUAAAAUGAUAUAUAAUAAACUAUCAUAGUUAAGAUAUUAAUGGCAUCAGAAUAUAGGUAAUCUUAUUAAUGACAUUUUUUACAAGAAAAGGAGGCAGAUCAGUUAAAUAUUGAGAGUGAGGAAUGAUGGAUGAAUAAGAAGAAUUGUUUAACGGUACCCAUGAUAUGUGUGUGUGUGUGUGUAUUUAAAAGCCAAGCCAAAAAAACCAAGUGAAGUUUCCAGUGAACAACAUGUCAGGAAGAUCAAUUGAAGACUGAAAUUUGAAAAGCUUGAAUAAUAAUGGCAUAGAACGAGAGGGCAUGAGUGGAUUGUAUCUUUACAAGUUGAAAUAGAAGCAGUAACCACAUCAGUAAGAUCACAGAUACGUUAAUGAUGCUAUGAAAUGGAAUUUUGGGGGAUGCCAUUAUGCUAUUUAUUCCUAUGUUUCAU